rnacentral:rRNA from 1 species
GACGAACGCUGGCGGCGUGCUUAACACAUGCAAGUCGAACGAGCGGCGGACGGGUGAGUAAUGUAUGGGAAACUGCCUGACGGAGGGGGAUAACUACUGGAAACGGUAGCUAAUACCGCAUACCAUCAGCUGGGCCCAGAUGGGAUUAGCUAGUCGGUGGGGUAAUGGCUCACCUAGGCGACGAUCCCUAGCUGGUCUGAGCGGAUGACCAGCCACACUGGGACUGAGACACGGUCCAGACUCCUACGGGAGGCAGCAGUGGGGAAUAUUGCACAAUGGGCGCAAGCCUGAUGCAGCCAUGCCGCGUGUGUGAAGAAGGCCUUCGGGUUGUAAAGCACUUUCAGCGAGGAGGCGUUACUCUCAGAAGAAGCACCGGCUAACUCCGUGCCAGCAGCCGCGGUAAUUC